rnacentral:rRNA from 1 species
CAGUAACACGUAGUCAACAUGCCCAGGGGACGUGGAUAACCUCGGGAAACUGAGGAUAAACCGCGAUAGGUCACUACUUCUGGAAUGGGUAAUGACCCAAACCUACAUGGCCCCUGGAUUGGACUGCGGCCGAUCAGGCUGUUGGUGAGGUAAUGGCCCACCAAACCUGUAACCGGUACGGGCUCUGAGAGGGGGAGCCCGGAGAUGGGCACUGAGACAAGGGCCCAGGCCCUAUGGGGCGCAGCAGGCGCGAAACCUCUGCAAUAGGCGAAAGCUUGACAGGGUUACUCUGAGUGAUUUCCGUUAAGGAGAUCUUUUGGCACCUCUAAAAAUGGUGCAGAAUAAGGGGUGGGCAAGUCUGGUGUCAGCCGCCGCGGUAAUACCAGCACCCCGAGUGGUCGGGACGUUUAUUGGGCCUAAAGCAUCCGUAGCCGGUUCUACAAGUCUUCCGUUAAAUCCACCUGCUUAACAGAUGGGCUGCGGAAGAUACUAUGGAGCUAGGAGGCGGGAGAGGCAAGCGGUACUCGAUGGGUAGGGGUAAAAUCCGUUGAUCCAUUGAAGACCACCGGUGGCGAAGGCGGCUUGCCAGAACGCGCUCGACGGUGAGGGAUGA